AUUUUUCUGAUUUAAUUGAAAAUGGCUCCUGCUCAAUGUAUAAUAAAUAGCCGCAGUAUUUUGACUGUGCAAAGGUAGCAUGAUAAUUAGUCUUAUAAUUGAAGACUGGAAUGAAAGGAAAAACUGGGAAAAUUUUUUUCUAAUUUUUUUCUUUAAAAUUUACUUUUUAGUAAAAAGGCUAAAAUGUUUCUUUUAGACAAGAAGACCCUAUAAAGCUUUACAUAAAAUAAUUUAAUAAAUUAAAAAUAUGUUUUACUGGGGCGGUAUAAAGAUAAACACUUUAAGAUGUUUAUAAAUUUCACAGUUUUAAUACCCAAAAAUUUUGAAAAUUAAAUAAGUUACUUUAGGGAUAACAGCGUAAUAUAUUUUGAAAGCUCAAAUUGACAAAUAUGUUUGCGACCUCGAUGUUGGAUUAGUUUUCCUUUAUUACGCAAAAGUAUUAAUAGGAGGUCUGUUCGACCUUUAAAAAACUCCA
rnacentral:rRNA from 1 species